GACGAACGCUGGCGGCGUGCCUAACACAUGCAAGUCGAACGGAAAGGCCCUGAUUUUGUGGGGCGCUCGAGUGGCGAACGGGUGAGUAACACGUGAGUAACCCGUCCCUGACUUUGGGAUAACAUCAGGAAACAGGGGCUAUUACAGGAUAGGAGCUCCUGCUGCAUGGUGGGGGAUGGUAAGAUUCGGCGGUUGGGGAUGGACUCGCGGCAUAUCAGCUUGUUGGUGGGGUAGUGGCGUACCAAGGUUUUGACGGGUAGCCGACCUGAGAGGGGGACCGGCGACAUGAGGACUGAGAUACGGCCCAGACGCCAACGGGACGCAGCAGUGGAGAAUAUUGCACAAUAGGCGGGAGCCUGAUGCGACAACGCCGCGUGCGGGAUGACGGCCUUUGGGUUGUAAACCGCUUUCGCCUUAGACGAAGCGUUAGUGACGGUAAUGGGUAAAGAAGCACCGGCUAACUACGUG
rnacentral:rRNA from 1 species